AGUGAACGCUGGCGGUAGGCCUAACACAUGCAAGUCGAACGGCAGCACAGUAAGAGCUUGCUCUUACGGGUGGCGAGUGGCGGACGGGUGAGGAAUACAUCGGAAUCUACUUUUUCGUGGGGGAUAACGUAGGGAAACUUACGCUAAUACCGCAUACGACCUGCGGGUGAAAGCAGGGGAUCUUCGGACCUUGCGCGAUUGAAUGAGCCGAUGUCGGAUUAGCUAGUUGGCGGGGUAAAGGCCCACCAAGGUGACGAUCCGUAGCUGGUCUGAGAGGAUGAUCAGCCACACUGGAACUGAGACACGGUCCAGACUCCUACGGGAGGCAGCAGUGGGGAAUAUUGGACAAUGGGCGCAAGCCUGAUCCAGCCAUACCGCGUGGGUGAAGAAGGCCUUCGGGUUGUAAAGCCCUUUUGUUGGGAAAGAAAAGCAGCAGGUUAAUACCCCGCUGUUCUGACGGUACCCAAAGAAUAAGCACCGGCUAACUUCGUG
rnacentral:rRNA from 1 species